AAAAUGAUAGGAGUGUAGAAAACA
rnacentral:piRNA from 1 species